CUAUUUAGAGAGCUAGGUUGGUAUACUAUCGUAGCACAGAGACCUCCGUGUUACCAAGUUAUUUUUAAUGAUGACACUUUCAAAUCGACGAUCGGCUCCGUUAGAAUUGAUCUACACUAUUGAAAGUAUUUGAAAACUAAAUUUCAUAAUUUUUUUAUAUCAAUUACCUAUCAAAAGAGUGGUCUAAAAAUAAACGGCUGAAAAUAAAAAUUUCAUAAAAAAUGAUGAUAGAAGACUUGAAUUUAAGAUCAGAAAUACUGAUCUUACUCUAAAUAGUAAAAAAAAUUUUCUAUAAAAAUUUCAUCUGAUUUAAGUUGUUUUACACCACUAAAUUUACAAAUGCAUCACAUCUACCGUUAAAAUUAUCAAUUUUGAGACCUUUUGAUCACUAACCAAAUAAUAUUAAAAAAUUAUAAAAUUUAAUUUUUAAGUAUUUUUAAUAAUGUAGAUCAAGUUUAACGAAACCGAUCAUCGAUUUAAAAGCUGCAUCAUUAAAAAAAACUUGUUAGCACGGAAACUUCCGUACUACCAAU
rnacentral:lncRNA from 1 species